ensembl:lncRNA
GGUGGACAGGAUGUGCAAGGAGCCAUGCUUUAGCUGCCCUGCCUGCACUCCACACAUGCUUGCCGUCUCAGUUGAUGGAAACCGCAAGCUUUAUCGCUUUCAGUCUAAUGCAAGGUACGUUAUGCAUUGUGGACAUAAGUCAAAUAUGGAUUUGUAGAAAAAUGUAUUUUAAUGUUUCUUUUCAAACAACUGUCACUGUGUUCGUUCAGCACUUCAGAGCAGGGGAACUUUGAAGGUGUCUUCAUUGAAAAAGAUGAGGAAGUUGCUGAGUUUGUGAAAUACAUCCAGAGACACACAAAUCAUGUAAGAUACACAUAUAUAUAUUAGUGCUGUUAAUCUUGUUAAAAUGACGUUAAUGCCGUAACCAUAUACACUUACGUGUGUGUGUGUGUGUGUGUUUGUGUGUGUAGACAUAUAUGGAUGGGUCGAUAUUUUUUUUUUAUUUUUCUCUUGGUGUUGUCGUAAUACUAUUUACUUUACUUUAUCUUAAUGUGUACUUAAUUUUGUCACCAUGUGUAUUUAAAAAAAACAACAUGAUUUUUAUUUUGUGUUAUCAGUGCUGUCCUGGGGAGAUCUGAGGUCUUGUGUGACUCGAGGCUAAUUCAGCUAAUUGUUAUGCAUUUGUUUUAAAAAGUUUGUCCCUGAUAGGGCUUCAUCAUGUCAUGUCUUUUAUGUUAAAAUCUUUGAGUGUAUAGGUCCCGGGGAAAGGGUUGUGCGGAUCUUCAUCUUGGACUGCAGCAAAGGAGUCGUCCAAAAAGUCCACUGGGAAGUUGGAUGAGGAGGGCAUGGAAAUAGCUGUUUGUCGCCACGGAGUCCUCUUAGCUGCAUUGAACAUGUUUCGAGGGGAGAUCUUUGCUUACCCCCUUUUUCUCCAGAGGAAGUUGGCAGCUAGCGUCCCAGGACAUAUUACGUUCCUUUGCUCCGAUGUGGCCUGUAAAUAUUUCCCCUAUUUAACCAAGGUGGCUCAGCAGUGCCCUGAGCUGAGGAACCUCUUGUCAAUGCUUCCUCUUCUCUCCGUCAUGCAUGCAAAGCUCACACUUGGAAAUGCGAGAUCAAAUGGGGAGGUGCGUUUCAGGAUGGGGCCGGUUCAACAGUUGGAGAAGAGGUGGAACAAGUAAACAGUUUCCUGUCUAGGGCGGCCAUCACAACGAAGUACAUGUCUAAAGCAGGGCGAACAGACAUGCUGACCCUCCUGGCUUUGGGGUGGAACAAAAGGAAAGUGGAACAACUGGGCCGCACUUUGAGCCAGUGAUAUCUAAAGAUCAUAAGGAUCCUUAGAGAACAAGUGGAGCCUGAAUGCGAGCAGAAAUGAGCUGGGUGUGGAUGACGACACACUGCAGCAAUGGGCUGAAGAUAGCAACAAGAGGCGACACAGAAUUCGCAAGGUCAUCUUAGUUGAGAAGAAACGCUUGGCGGCUGCUGUUGACGACUACAACAAGCUCGCUGAACCAACAAAGCAAAUCGUAUCCAGUGAUGCCCUCAUGCAGAGCGACGUUUGGCCCUGGCAGAGCACAAGUGAACCUGCUGCUGACCUCCGGACAAAGAGAAAGGUCUUUGAGAAGGUGAUGGCUGUGAGGCGCCUGAGAGAGGAGGAGAUGAUGCUCUGCAGGGAGAUGCAGCAUCACUGGACAGUGUUGCGAAUGCGUUCUGUGGUGUUGGGGACAAUCUCCUCAGACUGUAAGCACUUUAUUUAUUUAUUAAUUUUUUUGAUGAAUCGAUUGAAAAUAAGAGCAGAUGCUAAAGUCUUACUGGAUCUUUUACCUAUAUCUAGAUUGCUAGCUAACACUGCCUUCUCCCUUUUAAAAAAAUGUUUAAUUACAGCAUCCUAAUUCCUUGUGUUUAUGAGGUGAUGUUUUUUUGUUUGUUUGUUUUUUUUACUUUUCUCAUUUAUUUGUUUUGUUCUUUUUACAGCCUCCUUUGUUGGCAUGUCGGAGGAUGCACAGAAGGGACUCUGUAGCCUGGUUUUAAAAAAACAAAGUGAACUGAAAGCUGAAAUGCUCAAAGUAAAGGACGUGUACAAGAGAAUCCUCAGCCACCAACCACUCCUGGAAAUGGACUCGGAGGAGGAGGAGGACAUUCCAGACGAUGCCACUGAGAGUGAUUUGAGCACUUCUGAUGAAGACUGAUUGUGUCAUCAUUGAUGUUUUGUUUGGUAAAAUAAAAAGUUAAUCACAUCUCUGUUCAAUGUGAUUUUUCAACAGACAUUUUACAUUUUGAGAAGAAAAAUGGAAUUCCCUUGGUGCAGUUGUUUACCCUGAAUCAUUAUUUCCCAUCUAAUUUAAUGACUAGUGUACAUGUUCAGAUACGAUAACAUAAUUUAAUUUAUGGGAUGCUUUCUGGGCUGCUCAAAUUAUCAC